UAACACGUGGAUAACCUACCUAUAAGACUGGGAUAACUUCGUGAAACCGGAGCUAAUACCGGAUAAUAUUUUGAACCGCAUGGUUCAAAAGUGAAAGACUGUCUUGCUGUCACUUAUAGAUGGAUCCGCGCUGCAUUAGCUAGUUGGUAAGGUAACGGCUUACCAAGGCAACGAUGCAUAGCCGACCUGAGAGGGUGAUCGGCCACACUGGAACUGAGACACGGUCCAG
rnacentral:rRNA from 1 species